AAUUUUGGACAAUGGGGGAAACCCUGAUCCAGCCAUCCCGCGUGUAUGAUGAAGGCCUUCGGGUUUUAAAUUACUUUUGGCAGAGAAGAAAAGGUAUCUCCUAAUACGAGAUACUGCUGACGGUACCUGCAGAAUAAGCACCGGCUACAUACGUUCCAGCCGCCGCGUGAACACGUAGGGUGGAAGCGUUAAUCGGAAUUACUGGGCGUAAAGCGUGUGUAGGCGGGUCGGAAAGAAAGAUGUGAAAACCCAGGGCUCAACCUUGGAACUGCAUUUUUAACUGCCGAGCUAGAGUAUGUCAGAGAGGGGUAGAAUUCCACGUGUAGCAGUGAAAUGCGUAGAUAUGUGGAGGAAUACCGAUGGCGAAGGCAGCCCCCUGGGAUAAUACUGACGCUCAGACACGAAAGCGUGGGGAGCAAACA
rnacentral:rRNA from 1 species